ACCGAUCCAUUUACUAAAGCUCUCGAGAUCAAAGAGUUUGAUGAUCACAAAUCGAAGAUGGGUAUAUGAUAUUGUACCGAUUAGGUUAAGUCCAAGUGAGAGUUGUUGGAAAGUGUGUCUCAAUGUCAAUCGUCAGUCUAUUGAUGAUUGUGCUCAUCUUAUAAUUGUAUAUGAAUUUUUAUUGAUAAAAAUUAUUAGAUAUUUUUAUUAUAAAUUAUCUAUCGUUAAACUCUUGUAUUGUAAUGAAGUCCUUAGGACUAUA
rnacentral:lncRNA from 1 species